rfam:Gossypium hirsutum cultivar TM-1 unplaced genomic scaffold scaffold2691.1, whole genome shotgun sequence
AAUAAGAGAAUGAUAGAUCAGAUUUCCCCCCCUGAUUUUCAGUCUUUUCCUUCUGAAAAAAUUUAAAUCUAACUAAAAAUGCUAAAAAUCAAGAUAAAAAAACUGAUUUGUCAUUCUCCUAUU